GACGAACGCUGGCGGCGUGCUCAACACAUGCAAGUCGAGCGGUAAGGCCCUUUCGGGGGUACGACGAGCGGCGAACGGGUGAGUAACACGUGGGUGACCUGCCCUCAGCUCUGGGAUAAGCCUGGGAAACUGGGUCUAAUACCGGAUAUGACUCCAUGACGCAUGUUGUGGGGUGGAAAGCCUUGUGCGGCUGAGGAUGGGCCCGCGGCCUAUCAGCUUGUUGGU
rnacentral:rRNA from 1 species